rnacentral:snoRNA from 1 species
GAGCCGCCCCCGCCGCCGCCCGAGCCCNUCCAGAGGAAGCUGAGGCAUGACUGCUCAAGAGCCAGCGGUUCUAUGUGCAAUUUUCCUCUGAUAGUCCCGGGUACUGUUGCCACGGUGAUAAUGGCUGUGCCGUGUCGUUAUCUAUCCACCAACAGUAAGAGAAGCUUUGCAGUCGAGAUAUUGUUUAACAGACGGAGUGGUUUCUGUUGGACACUAAGUACUGCUACAAAU